rnacentral:lncRNA from 1 species
GGAUGGAUGAUAUAAUUGCACAGUGUGCCUAAAUAUAAACUACAGCGAUGAUAAUAAUUAGAUUAAUUAACCUGGAAAACACUGAACAUAAAGGGAUCUCUGGUCACUAAACAGCUGCCACAGAACCCAGAGUCAGGGGAAAGGGAGACUGUCGCUGUCUGUGUCAGCGACAAGGAGCCUGUUGGCAUGGUGGCUGCAGGUGUCCUCACACAGGGAUGACAUUGGUUCCUGGAGGAGCUGUUUCAGCCUCCUGGCUGAAGAUGCCAAGAGCUGGGAGAUCCCCAAGGUGGAGCCUCUCUCUUAAAAGAUCCAGUGAUAUUGGUAGCAGAACAGGAGGCCUGCCCGGAAAUGAGCCAAGAAGGAUGACUGUGCUGUUUAUCUCUGUGUCAUUGGCAUUGUUUUGGUGCCCCAGCAAAUGCUAGAGGCAUGGGGACAUGCCACACAUUCUGGUGAUGAAAGAGCCCGCUGCCUGUCUUUGCAAACAUAUCACAGCAGCCAAAACUGGCUGAUCUGGCGGUGAUGACUAGCCCCUAUGAGCAAACGCUUUCCCUGGCUGGGUUGUCAGCACUGUCUUGGCACCAUGAUCUGCUGUCAACCUACCACACAGGAAACACUCAAGCCCACAACUUUCACCUUCAACUUCUUCCAAUCUCUUUAAGCCAGCCCCAGGCUCCCCAAAUCCACAGCAUACUAGGGAAUGGACAGAAGGAAACAGAAACCGUGUGGGACCCAGGGUCAGACAUCACUCACUAACUCCAUUACUGGGGUGAGUUAUUGAAACUCUCUGGGCCUCAGUUUCCUCGACCAUAAAAUGGGAAGUAUAGCAAUCACACAGUUUUUUUGUUUUUAAAGGAUCAGGUGAAAUAGUCAUUUAUCACUGUGCCUGGCACACACACGGUGCUUAAUAAUUGUUCAACGGCUUCUCCUCCUUCUUCACCCUUCUGUUGUUGCUAAAACCUAACAGUAAAUUAUCUACAAAGAGUUUUUCCUCAAGGUCAAGAUCCCCACUAACAGUCCCUGAUAUUCUGAGGCCAGGCUUCACAUGCCGGUGACUUUCUAAGGAAUGGCUCCCAAGAGAAAACUAGAAGGAAGAGGGGGACACGUGACAGGGAUGUAGAAGAAGCCAAGCCCAAGUGGAAUCUCAGACAAGGUCUCCUUCAGAUGACUUCAGC